rnacentral:rRNA from 1 species
GACGAACGCUGGCGGCGUGCUUAACACAUGCCAGUCGAACGGAAAGGCCCUGCUUUUGUGGGGGGCUCGAGUGGCGAACGGGUGAGUAACACGUGAGUAACCUGCCCUUGACUUUGGGAUAACUUCAGGAAACUGGGGCUAAUACCGGAUAGGAGCUCCUGCUGCAUGGUGGGGGUUGGAAAGUUUCGGCGGUUGGGGAUGGACUCGCGGCUUAUCAGCUUGUUGGUGGGGUAGUGGCUUACCAAGGCUUUGACGGGUAGCCGGCCUGAGCGGGUGACCGGCCCCAUCGGGAAUGAGAUACGGCCCCGACUCCUCCGGGAGGAAGCAGUGGGGAAUAUUGCAUAAUGGGCGGAAGCCUGAUGCAGCACCGCCGCGCGCGGGAUGAAGGCCUUCCGGUUGUAAACCGCUUUCGCCUGUGAUGAAGCGUGAGUGACGGUAAUGGGUAAAGAAGCAACGGCUAACUACGUG